GGGGAAGUGUCGGAAUUGGCAGACGAGCGUGGUUUAGGACCACGUGGGCUUAGCCCGUGCGGGUUCAAGUCCCGCCUUCCCCA
rnacentral:tRNA from 1 species